GACGAACGCUGGCGGCGUGCUUAACACAUGCAAGUCGAACGGAAAGGCCCUGCUUUUGUGGGGUGCUCGAGUGGCGAACGGGUGAGUAACACGUGAGUAACCUGCCCUUGACUUUGGGAUAACUUCAGGAAACUGGGGCUAAUACCGGAUAGGAGCUCCUGCUGCAUGGUGGGGGUUGGAAAGUUUCGGCGGUUGGGGAUGGACUCGCGGCUUAUCAGCUUGUUGGUGGGGUAGUGGCUUACCAAGGCUUUGACGGGUAGCCGGCCUGAGAGGGUGACCGGGGAGAUUGGGGCUGAGAUACGGCCCAGAGUGCUACGGGAGGCAGCAGUGGGGAAUAUUGCACAAUGGGCGGGAGCGUGAUGCAGCAACGCCGCGGGCGGGAUGACGGCCUUCGGGGUGUAAACCGCUUUCGCCUGUGACGAAGCGGGAGUGACGGUAAUGGGUAAAGAAGCACCGGCUAACUACGUG
rnacentral:rRNA from 1 species